CACGCCGCCAGGGGACCGAGCCCGGCUCCUUCCGGCGCUCCGCGCGAGGCCGCGCGUGUCGCGCACGUCGUUCUGCCGCCCGGCGCGCGCGCCCGCUCCGCUCGCGUCGACCGGGCGGAGGGAGACUCGCUGAAGGGCACGCGGGACGAGGGAGGCGGAGGGAAGCAGAGGCUCCCUGAGGACACGCGCGGCGGCGCGGGGCGCGCGGCCCCGGGAGGAGGGCUGCGGGUGCGUGCGAACGGCCGGCUCCGGCGUUUCUGAGUGACCGCGGAGGCCGGGGAAGUUCCUGCGCAGUGGAAAGCGGCGCGCUACGUCUGUGCCAUGGACCCGGGACCCGAGGAAAUUAAAGCCCCGCCGGGGCCAUCUCCCGACCCCUGGAGUAUCUUAAAUCAAUUAACCUCCGCCGGUCCGAGCCGAGGGUUAACAGCACAACGAUCUGCUUAAGUCCUGUUGAGGGGCAGGAGUGUGCUUCCAACUUCCAAAAACGUCCCACCCGAAUUCCCACCGACCAGCCAGGAAUGUAGUGUUGAUGGAGCCACUGAUGGCUGAUUCCAGGACUGGAAGAAAGAAGUAAAACAAGAGACUGGAGUCCCUAGUUGUGCCAGAAAACAAGCGGGUGAGUCCUCCUUAUUCCUGAUUUAUGGCAAUCAGCAGUCACUCCUAAUGAUCAGUAAACAAUGUUUUUAAAAUGCAAAGAAUCUCUUUCAAAUUGAACCCAAAAUGACAACUAAUGCUUUUUGUGACCUGAAAAUUGCAACAUUAUAUGUAAUGUUUGGAUAUUGUUCAUCAUCUUUGAAUUCCUCAUGACUUAUAAACCUUUUGCCUAUGGAUAAUUUACAAGAAUAACUUACAACUUAAUUUACAACCUAUUACAUCUGUAGAUUUAAUUAAAUUGUGAGUCCUGCCUCUUAAUUGUAUUGCAU
ensembl:lncRNA